UACAGAGGUCCCAAGCGUUGUUCGGAUUCAUUGGGCGUAAAGGGCGCGUAGGCGGGCGGUCAAGUCAGGGGUGAAAUCCCACGGCUCAACCGUGGAAGUGCCUUUGAUACUGGCCGCCUCGAGGGAGGUAGGGGCGUGCGGAACUUCCGGUGGAGCGGUGAAAUGCGUAGAUAUCGGAAGGAACACCGGUGGCGAAAGCGGCGCGCUGGACCUUUACUGACGCUGAGGCGCGAAAGCGUGGGGAGCAAACAGG
rnacentral:rRNA from 1 species